rnacentral:lncRNA from 1 species
AUCCACAAAAUCGUGUACACCACUCAGAACCUUUGUUAGUUAGUUCCCGAAUUAUUCACGAAUUAUUGAAAAUCUGAAUUAAACGGACAGUUUACAAAUUUUUUCCAAAAAAAAAAAUUAUUCGCGAAUUUUUGGGCCAGCCGAAUAAUUCGCGAAUUAGUCCCGAAUUAUUGAAAAUAUGAAUAAAAAACUUAUAAUUUUUAUGUUUGAAUAUAGAUUAUCUUAUAUUUUAUAUCUUAUAUUUUAUAUUUUAUACCGAAUCUAUUUUUUAAACCGAAUUUUUCAACGAAUUUAAAAAUUAAAAAAUAAAUUUUAUGCGUAUUAUAUUCGUACCGAAUUUUUGUCGAAUCCGAAUUAACUAACUAUG